AAAUGAAAUCUAUCUUCCUCUCUCUCUCCUUCUCCUCUCGUCUUCUCCGUUCGGGUUUUGCAGCAAAAAAGGAAAAGAGAUUUCAAUGGCAACUCUUGGAGGAAUCAAAGAGUCUUCGAAUCAAAACAGCACAGAGAUUAGCGAACUCGCUCAAUUCGCUGUCCAAGAACACAACAAAAAAAAUAAUGCUGUCCUUGAGUUUGUGAGAGUGGUGAAUGCAAAAGAGCAAGUAGUAGCUGGAACCAUGUACUAUCUUACCGUGGAGGCAACUGACGGUGGUAAGAAGAAGCUCUAUGAAGCAAAGGUCUGGGUCAAGCCAUGGGAGAAUUUCAAGGAGCUGCAGCAGUUUAAGUAUAAGAGUGAUUGUUAGUCGGCCCAUUUGGAAGUGGUGCCAAGCUAGGUAAAUGAUCUUAAGCCCUCAAUAUCUUUGCAUUUCCAUUGAAUUUCGGGACAAAUUCCAAUUCAGCAGAAAAAGAAGAAGAUUAUCCAUCUAGCGUCGCCUACCAUGUACAGUCCAAAAAUACAAUCAGAUGAUACUAAAUUCCUGACCAAGUUAAAUGGGCUUUCCCUCGUCAACCACCUUGGUAUUGUCUGGUUGGCGGACUUUUGGCUGUGACCAUCCACUUGGGUGGCACUGCUAAGAUGGUCCAUAUCAUCAUAAUUGGUGCACUUCAAUACCUGUAAAUUCCUUAAGUCUCUAUCUUAUUAGUAUUGUAUA